UUCAUAAAAUGAGUUGUGGUGCCAGUAGAAAGUCUCCUGCUGGUUCUACUAGACUCAAACCAAAUCCCAACUUCUUCAACUCUCCUAGUCAAAGUGAUGGGGUAGGUAAGGAGGGGACUGUACCAGAAUCCUUAUUGAAACAAGUUCGUAAAACGGUUCACUGAACCUGUCAAACAGCCUGGGGUAGGAGGCCGUUGUGUGAGACCAUAUAUAUUAGAGAUAUUAGUUUCAUUUACUCUAUUAUCUAUGGGGCAUUAUUGUUAUUCCUCCUAAACUGUGGAGACUCAAUAUUGAUCCUCCUGAUGGUAGUACUGCUUCAUUUGAUGUUGAUGAGAGAUGGUGGGACCAGGUCGAACUGACUAGACUGGAUCUAUCAUCUAACGAAAUCAAACAAAUAUCUGAAGAUAUUGAAAACUUUAAUUCAUUGUCAGCACUUGAGGUCCAGUACAAUGAGUUAACAUGUCUACCUAAUAAUGUGAUCAAACUGGAUAAACUAUCUAAAAUAUUUGCAAGUCUCUCCUAUAUGUUAGGAAGGUUUGAGUCUCUUCAUUAUCUUCUCUUUGAUGUUCUCCUCUUAAUUAAAUGAAUGAGAGCUGACAUCCUCCGGAAAGGAACAGUAUUGGUCCUCUAGUAUCUCUUGUAUUGAAGAACAAGAGACCACAUGUGACGGCCAACCUCUCCCUCGUCCCUCAAGAUCCCCUCGUGACCAUACAAGUGAGAGAUCAUGUGACUUUUGAUGAUAGUCAUGUGAUGUUGUGUAG